UGAAUAGGAAGAAAAUGUGGAGGCUUAAGAUAGGGGAAGGUGGCAAUAAUCCCUAUCUUUACAGUACCAACCAUUCUUUUCUAUAAGGGCAAGUUUUUUAUUGUACUGCAGAAAGUUUGAAGAGUAAAAAUGGUGGUUAUACAGCUUGGAAACCAGCAGGAGGUGCAUUCUGGUGGGAGGUAAUAUUUCAAUAUUUGUACUUGUCUUCGAUAUUAUAUAAUUUCCUAUGAAUUUAAUAAAGCAUUUUUUUUCUCCUUAA